rnacentral:rRNA from 1 species
GACGAACGCUGGCGGCGUGCUUAACACAUGCAAGUGGAGCGACGAACCGGGCUUCGGCCCGGGGCAGAGCCGCGAACGGGUGAGUAACACGUGGGUUACCUGCCCCGAUGACUGGGACAACCCGGGGAAACCCGGGCUAAUACCGGAUGUGCCCUUCGGGGGAAAGGAAGCUUCGGCCUCCGCAUCGGGAUGGGCCCGCGGCCCAUUAGCUUGUUGGUGGGGUAAUGGCCCACCAAGGCUGCGAUGGGUAGCUGGUCUGAGAGGACGAUCAGCCACACUGGGACUGAGACACGGCCCAGACUCCUACGGGAGGCAGCAGUGGGGAAUCUUGCGCAAUGCGCGAAAGCGUGACGCAGCAACGCCGCGUGGGGGAAGACGGCCUUCGGGUUGUAAACCCCUUUCAGUUGGGACGAAGCUCCGCCGGUGAACAGCCGGCCGGAGUGACGGUACCUUCAGAAGAAGCCCCGGCUAACUUCGUGCCAGCAGCCGCCGUAACAC